GAUGCUCCACAAAAUGUGCCAUACCCAUCCCCAGAUCCAUUGGCAAACUCUUCCAGUACUGUAUUUUUCGGCCAACGUCCAUGGAGAAUAAAUCAUGAAGGAUUGGCAACUGCAGAAGUUGAAGCUGCUGCAGUUACAGCAAUUAUUCAAAGGCUUGUAGUCAAUCAUGAAGGUGUAAUUUCAUUGUUAUCAGCUGCAUUGGCUCAAUAUCAGAAAUAUGGAUGUUUGAGAAUGAAGAAGAAGGUUAUGAUGGAG
rnacentral:sRNA from 1 species